rnacentral:rRNA from 1 species
UACAGAGGGUGCAAGCGUUGUUCGGAAUUAUUGGGCGUAAAGGGCGUGUAGGCGGUCUGCUAAGUCAUGUGUGAAAUCCCUCGGCUUAACCGAGGAACGACGCAUGAAACUGGCAAGCUAGAGUACCAAAGAGGGGGGUGGAAUUCCCGGUGUAGCGGUGAAAUGCGUAGAUAUCUGGAGGAACACCGGUGGCGAAGGCGGCAUCCUGGACCGAUAUUGACGCUGAUGCGCGAAAGCCAGGGGAGCAAACGGG